rnacentral:rRNA from 1 species
GUGAGGAAUAUUGGUCAAUGGGCGCAAGCCUGAACCAGCCAUGCCGCGUGCAGGAAGACGGUCCUAUGGAUUGUAAACUGCUUUUAUUUGGGAAUAAACUCCGGUACGUGUACCGGCCUGAAGGUACCAAAUGAAUAAGCACCGGCUAACUCCGUGCCAGCAGCCGCGGUAAUACGGAGGGUGCAAGCGUUAUCCGGAAUCAUUGGGUUUAAAGGGUCCGCAGGCGGUCUUAUAAGUCAGUGGUGAAAGCCUACAGCUCAACUGUAGAACUGCCAUUGAUACUGUAGGACUUGAAUUCGAUCGAAGUGGGCGGAAUGUGACAUGUAGCGGUGAAAUGCUUAGAUAUGUCACAGAACACCGAUAGCGAAGGCAGCUCACUAGGUCUGGAUUGACGCUCAGGGACGAAAGCGUGGGGAGCAAACAGGAUUAGAACCCUUGUAGUCC